rnacentral:rRNA from 1 species
AGCUCCAAUAGCGUAUAUUAAAGUUGUUGCAGUUAAAAAGCUCGUAGUCGUAUUUGAGCGUGUGCUGUCUUCGUUUUUGGUCUGCACUCAAAAGAGUGUGAUGACCCGAGCAGCUUCGCAAGCAACCAUUGGGUCGUGCCUGGUCUUGAUUGACUUGGGCGCGUUCUAUCUCGAUGGAUCAUUUACUGUGAGAAAAGUAGAGUGUUCAAGGCAGGCGUGUAAUUUUUGGCAAUUGAAUAUGUUAGCAUGGAAUAAUAAGAUAGGACUUCCGAGUCUAUUUUGUUGGUUUCUAGUUUGGAAGUAAUGAUUGAUAGGGAUAGUUGGGGGUGCUAGUAUUGAAUGGCCAGAGGUGAAAUUCACGGAUUCAUUCAAGACUAACUAAUGCGAAAGCAUUCACCAA